rnacentral:rRNA from 1 species
UACGUAGGAGGCGAGCGUUGUCCGGAAUUAUUGGGCGUAAAGAGCUCGUAGGCGGUUUGUCGCGUCUGCUGUGAAAACGCGAGGCUCAACCUCGCGCCUGCAGUGGGUACGGGCAGACUAGAGUGCGGUAGGGGAGAUUGGAAUUCCUGGUGUAGCGGUGGAAUGCGCAGAUAUCAGGAGGAACACCGAUGGCGAAGGCAGAUCUCUGGGCCGUAACUGACGCUGAGGAGCGAAAGCGUGGGGAGCGAACAGG